CAAAACAGAAGAGGAGCGUUACCCAGGUAUCGGAUUUGCGGGGCCCCACCCCAAAGCAAGUUCAGAGAGGGGGAGUAACGCCGAGAUACAGCAACGCAGGGGAGUUGUUGUAUCGGCCUUGAAGGUUGAAUCCUUCAGGCUGUCACUACGCGUCUUUGAAAGGAAUCCUGAAGGCGCAUAGUGGGGAGCUUCUGGUUGU
rnacentral:ncRNA from 1 species